GCCUACAGCCAUACCACCCGAACAUGCCCGAUCUCGUCUGAUCUGGAUGCUAAGCAGGUUCAGGCCUGGUUAGUACUUGGAUGGGAAAUCUAAUACUAUUUAACAGGCUCAAAGACAAUGCAGGAA
rnacentral:rRNA from 1 species